AUAGAGAAGAAGGACUCGAACCAACACCUAAAAACCCAAAAUUUUUAGUACUCCCACCUAUACUACUCUCUA
rnacentral:tRNA from 1 species